GUCGAACGAACCCCCGACUUCGGUUGGACGGUUAGUGGCGCACGGGUGCGUAACGCGUGGGAAUCUGCCCUUAGGUACGGAAUAACUCAGGGAAACUUGUGCUAAUACCGUAUGAUGUCGAGAGACCAAAGAUUUAUCGCCUAGGGAUGAGCCCGCGUUGGAUUAGCUUGUUGGUGAGGUAAAAGCUCACCAAGGCUACGAUCCAUAGCUGGUCUGAGAGGAUGAUCAGCCACACUGGGACUGAGACACGGCCCAGACUCCUACGGGAGGCAGCAGUGGGGAAUAUUGGACAAUGGACGAAAGUCUGAUCCAGCAAUGCCGCGUGAGUGAAGAAGGCCUUCGGGUUGUAAAGCUCUUUUACCCGGGAUGAUAAUGACAGUACCGGGAGAAUAAGCUCCGGCUAACUCCGUGCCAGCAGCCGCGGUAAUACGGANGGAGCUAGCGUUGUUCGGAAUUACUGGGCGUAAAGCGUACGUAGGCGGCCAAUCAAGUCAGAGGUGAAAGCCCACGGCUCACCGGUGGAACUGCCUUGAAACUAUUGGCUUGAAAAUGGAAAGUGAGUGAAUUCCAGUGUAAGGUGAAUCCGUAAAUUCCGAAGACCC
rnacentral:rRNA from 1 species